GACGAACGCUGGCGGCGUGCUUAACACAUGCAAGUCGAACGGAAAGGCCCUGCUUUUGUGGGGUGCUCGAGUGGCGAACGGGUGAGUAACACGUGAGUAACCUGCCCUUGACUUUGGGAUAACUUCAGGAAACUGGGGCUAAUACCGGAUAGGAGCUCCUGCUGCAUGGUGGGGGUUGGAAAGUUUCGGCGGUUGGGGAUGGACUCGCGGCUUAUCAGCUUGUUGGUGGGGUAGUGGCUUACCAAGGCUUUGACGGGUAGCCGGCCUGAGAGGGUGACCGGCCACAUUGGGACUGAGAUACGGCCCAGACUCCUACGGGAGGCAGCAGUGGGGAAUAUUGCACAAUGGGCGGAAGCCUGAUGCAGCAACGCCGCGUGCGGGAUGACGGCCUUCGGGCUGUAACCCGCUUUCGCCUGUGACGAAGCGUGAGUGACGGUAAUGGGUAAAGAAGCACCGGCUAACUACGUG
rnacentral:rRNA from 1 species